UCGCUGGCUCGCUGGCCGUCUGCCCGCCCGCCAGCAGCCUGGGGGUUCGGUCCCGGGCCCUCUCAGGCCCCGCGGUCUCCGACUCUCGGGCCCCGGUGUCCGUAUUUAUAGGUGCGCGCGCCCCGCGCUCGCGCUCCGAAGCGCUCUUUGCAAAAACACUGUAUCACGUGUGGGGAAUGAAACCUGGGAGGAAAACAAAGCCGCAGGCGGCAGCCGCGGAGGCUGGCGGCCGGAGGCGGGGGGCCGGAGGAGGAGGAAGAGGAGGAGGAAGGGAAAGCCAAGCGGGUGGCGGGGCGAGGGACCGGCCGGGCAGUCCAGGUAGUCCGAGCCGACUGCGGGGAGAGUUGGUGGCUCCCAGGGCGCGCGCCCAGACUGAGGAUGCAGCCCCUGAUUUAAAUGCAUACCCGAGGAUGCGUAAGAACCCAGGAGCGAACAUCAAACGUGUGGCCAGACUAAUUGACACAUCUCCAUUUGAUGGUGCUGUCACUUUUCAUCUUUCUUAGCAAAGGCCAACAUAAAUUUUUACUUCGACCCAGAAACGUGCUCCGUUUUCCAUGAAGAACAAGGAAGAAGAGAAUGAUGUCUCCUUCAUCUCAACCUAUAAGGCUCGCUUCAAAUGAUACUUUCUCCACAGACCCUCCCUGACUUCCACUGUGUGAACACUGAGUUUUUCCCCCAUCUCACAAGACGCUGCCCCCGUUCCUCCUUUUCCUGGAUUGGAGUCAGGACACUGGGGUCUCAUCCAUGUUCUGCAAUGAAUUUCCCUGGUAGCAGCCCCGUGCUCGUGGCUCAUCUGACUGCAGGGUGAUGGCUGGUGAAUACAGACAGAAUGCAAGCACCUGGAUUCGCUAUCAAAUAAUUGGGUGUUAUCUGGUCAGGUAAGACAAGCAUACCCCUGACCCCUGACCCACCACUCCUAAACAAUUACAGACACCAGCUUUAGGGAUGUUAACUCAGGGACAGGCUUGUGAAUUGAAUGUGGCUGGUUACUCAGAAGGGUUUGGUGGGGGCCUGAGGCAGCGGCAAAAUAAUGAAAGGGUACUCUUGGGCUUCUGGUCCCAGCUGUGGAAGGGGGCAGAGCAACGAUACCGUGUGAUGGAACAACAGCUCUGUGCUGACAAUGCGUUACAGCAGGUGGAGGGCAUUACAAAAGGCCUACCUGAGUCAUUGAGCAACACACAAAAACCCACUAUCUGGGGUCUAAAACAGCUGUGUACGACAUAUGGGACCCCACCGUGGACAUCGAUAGUGACCAAGGAACUCACUUUACUGGCCAUGAAGUUCAGGAAUGAGCCGAUUAAGAAUGACGUACACUGGCGUUUCCUUAUUACCCCACUGCUGCUGGGCUAUGACCGGACUACUUAACAACUGAGAUGGAAAACUGGCUCUCUCAACGUGUGACACAUCCCAGGAGCAAUUGUCCCAGUGCCUACACCAUGAUAACCCAGAAGCAACUAGUCAACACAAGCCAAGUUCACCUGUUGGCCACUGAAGGACCAUUGCCAGCUAUUGGUCAGGACAGUAACUUACUUUUGCCCUUGCCACAGGGUCUGUCCCCAGGAACACGUUAUAAAAUGGCCCUGGGACUGGCAGGUAAGUCCCCGGUGGUUUGCUUUUCCUGCCCCAUGAGGAAUAGGAUUCGAAAGGGACUUAAGAGAUUUCACCUGUCUUCUACCCAGCCCCACCUGAGACUGCUGAAACAAUCCAGGCCCCCUACUGGAGAAAGGCACCAUUAUAUUAGCCUGUGGUCAGUUGUUAUACCACCUCUCCAGCGUUCGGCACCGGCUCUGAGGACUGAGGGUGGGCAAGCGGUGUACUACUGCAGGCCAGGACGUGGCGGCAGAGGAAAUGUUACCUCAGAAUGCUGUUACUGCUUGUCGUUUGCUUAAUGGUCAUGACCUUCCCUGUAUGGUGCCUGUUAAAACAUCUUACAUUUUGUCCCUAGUCUGAAUGGAGGGAAUCUGUUUGUGGACUGGGCAACACUGGGGGCCUCACUGCGAAAUGAGUUUGAUUGCUGGAACUACAGCGAGAUGCUGUUGUUGUCCUCUGGAAUUCCAUGAAAAUUUGACCUGAUGAGCUGCCUGGCUCUAAAGUUUGCCCACCUCUUGCACUCCUGAUGCUCUUUAGCUUCUGUUGUCUGUAUUGCAUUUGCGGUAUUUGGUUGCAGGGCACCACUACGUACCUGACCCCAGGGAUAUCUCGGAAGAGGGGUGAACCAAGAUUGUAAGGGUCAUGCAGGGUAUGCGGGGGGGAGUGUACGGCCAGGCCACUCAAGGUGGCUGUUCUUUUGCUCUUUGUACAUCCCCUGCUCGACCAGUCCCUGCUUCACCUACACUCUGCUCACACGAACGUGCUUGGCCUCUGCCCCAGCUAGUGAUUGUUCUAGUCUUUAGGCCAGAACGGCUCCAGCUGCUAAUUUAUUAAAGGGAAAUAUCUGCCCUGGAGAUGGUUGUUAACCUGAGGGGCUGGGAGGGACCUGCCCCAGCUGCUAGUUUCCCUGGUAACCGAUG